rnacentral:misc_RNA from 1 species
GAUGAAGAACGUAGCGAAAUGCGAUAAGUAAUGUGAAUUGCAGAAUUCAGUGAAUCAUCGAAUCUUUGAACGCACCUUGCACCCUUUGGUAUUCCGAAGGGUAUGCUCGUUUGAGUGUCAUUGUACUCUCACACUUCUAAUUCCUUUCGGGAUUGGGAGCGGUGGACUUGGGUGUUGCUGCUUUAGUUGUGGCUCACCUCAAAUAAGUUAGUGCAACUCUUGGUUGGACAUAGUACGGCGUGAUAAGUGUCUUCGCCGGCGCCUCUGUAAGGAGGGUGGCCGAUCGGGAGCUCUGUGCUUCAAACCGUCUUCGGACAAUCUUUGACAACUUGACCUCAAAUCGAGUAGGACUACCCGCUGAACUUAAGCAUAGCAAUAAGCGGAGGA